UUAAAAAUGUAGGCCCUUUAUAUUGGUAACAUUAUAUUUUGCAUAUCACUGUAUGCCAGGACAUCCAAAAAUAUUUCAUAUACUUUCUUAUUUAAAUAUAAAUCUUUAUGGACAAUUGGCAGGAAACCCUGAUAAUAAGUAUAUUUUUUACUAUUGUAGGUAGGAUCCUCAGAGACUAUACGUGAUAUAUCCCUUUUUUGGAUAAAGACUUAGUCCGACACCUAUAGUAAUAUAGGU
rnacentral:ncRNA from 1 species